AUGCUUAAUGAUGAGGCACUAACCAGCAUUUUGUAAUGCCAGUUGUCAUAGUUACUCUGAAAGCAU